AGACGCUUCCCUGCCCUCUCGCCUCAACCACCUCGAGGCAGCGGCUCCCAGGAUGUGCACUUUGACGACUAAAGCUGAGCCGGCGCCGCCACGACCUUGGGCGGGUGGUCGGCCUCUGCCCUGAGCAGGAAGUAGAAAGUCUCAGCAGACCCUUCCUGAGGGCCGAGCAACAGUGUAGUGGCGUAUUCCACAUAGCAAACAGUUUUCUGAAGCUCAGAGGGACACCUUGUAUUGCUGGAUGAUAAAAACAGGAGCAAAGUGAUGAAGUGCUGACAAGGCAACAAUAGAACAUGAGAGAUUCACUGCUGUGUAGGAAGAGAUCUUCGGUGACCAUGUAGCCUGAAGCUCUCAUUUUGUCAUCGAGGGACACCAAAACUCAGAACAGCAGCUCACGCUGCUGAUGCAACACAGGUGAAGAGCACCUUCCCCUCCCCCACCUGUGGGCUGAUUCCCACCACGUGGAUCCCAAGGCCAUCCCAGGAACUCUUUGGAGGGGAGAAGCCCAGUGGAAACUGUCAGGCCUCUGAGCACAAGCCAAGCCAUCGCAUCCCCUGUGACUUGCACGUAUAUGCCCAGAUGGCCUGAAGUAACUGAAGAAUCACAAAAGAAGUGAAAAGGCCCUGCCCCACCUUAACUGAUGACAUUCCACCAUUGUGAUUUGUUCCUGCCCCACCUUCACUGAGUGAUUAACCCUGUGAAUUUCCUUCUCCUGGCUCAGAAGCUCCCCCACUGAGCACCUUGUGACCCCCGCCCCUGCCCACCAGAGAACAACCCCCUUUGACUGUAAUUUUCCAUUACCUUCCCAAAUCCUAUAAAAC
rnacentral:lncRNA from 1 species